GUUUUGGGAGGGUGUUCUAAAUAUACUAAAAUUGUCUGAUCUUGGAAGCUAAGCAGGGUCGGGCCUGGUUAGUACUUGGAUGGGAGACCACCUAGGAAGACCAGAUGCUGUAAGUG
rnacentral:rRNA from 1 species